rnacentral:rRNA from 1 species
GACGAACGCUGGCGGCGUGCUCAACACAUGCAAGUCGAACGGAAAGGCCCUGCUUUUGUGGGGUGCUCGAGUGGCGAACGGGUGAGUAACAAGUGAGUAACCUGCCCUUGACUUUGGGAUAACUUCAGGAAACUGGGGCUAAUAACGGAUAGGAGCUCCUGCUGCAUGGUGGGGGUUGGAAAGUUUCGGCGGUUGGGGAUGGACUCGCGGCUUAUCAGCUUGUUGGUGGGGUAGUGGCUUACCAAGGCUUUGACGGGUAGCCGGCCUGAGAGGGUGACCGGCCACAUUGGGACUGAGAUACGGCCCAGACUCCUACGGGAGGCAGCAGUGGGGAAUAUUGCACAAUGGGCGGAAGCCUGAUGCAGCAACGCCGCGUGCGGGAUGACGGCCUUCGGGUUGUAAACCGCUUUCGCCUGUGACGAAGCGUGAGUGACGGUAAUGGGUAAAGAAGCACCGGCUAACUACGUG